GAUGAACGCUGGCGGCGUGCCUAAUACAUGCCAGUAGAACGCUGAAGGAAGGAGCUUGCUCUUUCCGGAUGAGUUGCGAACGGGUGAGUAACGCGUAGGUAACCUGCCUGGUAGCGGGGGAUAACUAUUGGAAACGAUAGCUAAUACCGCAUAACAGUAGAUGUUGCAUGAUAUCUACUUAAAAGGUGCAAUUGCCCCACUACCAGAUGGACCUGCGUUGUAUUAGCUAGUUGGUGAGGUAACGGCUCACCAAGGCGACGAUACAUAGCCGACCUGAGAGGGUGAUCGGCCACACUGGGACUGAGACACGGCCCAGACUCCUACGGGAGGCAGCAGUAGGGAAUCUUCGGCAAUGGACGGAAGUCUGACCGAGCAACGCCGCGUGAGUGAAGAAGGUUUUCGGAUCGUAAAGCUCGGUUGUAAGAGAAGAACGAGUGUGAGAGUGGAAAGUUCACACUGUGACGGUAUCUUACCAGAAAGGGACGGCUAACUACGUG
rnacentral:rRNA from 1 species